rnacentral:rRNA from 1 species
CAGUCGCCACGGUAAUACGAGGGGUGCAAGCGUUAUUCGGAUUGAUUGGGUGUAAAGGGUGUGCAGACGGCUUAUUAAGUCACUUGUUAAAUUCUUCGGCCUAACUGAAGGUCUGCAAGUGAUACUGAUGAGCUAGAGGGUGGAAGAGAGAAGUGGAAUUCUCGGAGUAGCGGUAAAAUGCGUAGAUCUCGAGAGGAACACCAAUGGCGAAGGCAGCUUCAUGGUCCAUUCCUGACGUUCAUACACGAAAGCGUGGGGAGCAAACAGGAUUAGAUACCCGCGUAGUCCCUGUCUCUUAUAC